AACGAACGCUGGCGGCAGGCUUAACACAUGCAAGUCGAACGCCCCGCAAGGGGAGUGGCAGACGGGUGAGUAACACGUGGGAACGUGCCCUAAGGUUUGGAAUAUUCCCGGGAAACUGGGAGCAAUACCAAAUGUGUCCGUAAGGAGAAAGAUUUAUCGCCUUAGGAUCGGCCCGCGUCAGAUUAGGUAGUUGGUGGGGUAAAAGCCUACCAAGCCGACGAUCUGUAGCUGGUCUGAGAGGACGACCAGCCACACUGGGACUGAGACACGGCCCAGACUCCUACGGGAGGCAGCAGUGGGGAAUCUUGGACAAUGGGCGCAAGCCUGAUCCAGCCAUGCCGCGUGGAUGAUGAAGGCCCUAGGGUUGUAAAAUCCUUUCGUUGGGGACGAUAAUGACGGUACCCAAAGAAGAAGCUCCGGCUAACUUCGUGCCAGCCGCCGCUGUAAAAC
rnacentral:rRNA from 1 species